GACGAACGCUGGCGGCGUGCCUAAUACAUGCAAGUAGAACGCACAGUUUAUACCGUAGCUUGCUACACCAUAGACUGUGAGUUGCGAACGGGUGAGUAACGCGUAGGUAACCUGCCUGGUAGCGGGGGAUAACUAUUGGAAACGAUAGCUAAUACCGCAUAAUAUUGAUUAUUGCAUGAUAAUUGAUUGAAAGAUGCUAUUGCAUCACUACCAGAUGGACCUGCGUUGUAUUAGCUAGUAGGUGAGGUAACGGCUCACCUAGGCGACGAUACAUAGCCGACCUGAGAGGGUGAUCGGCCACACUGGGACUGAGACACGGCCCAGACUCCUACGGGAGGCAGCAGUAGGGAAUCUUCGGCAAUGGACGAAAGUCUGACCGAGCAACGCCGCGUGAGUGAAGAAGGGUUUCGGAUCGUAAAGCUCUGUUGUAAGAGAAGAACGGGUGUGAGAGUGGAAAGUUCACAAUGUGACGGUAUCUUACCAGAAAGGGACGGCUAACUACGUG
rnacentral:rRNA from 1 species